rnacentral:rRNA from 1 species
UACGAAGGGGGCUAGCGUUGCUCGGAAUGACUGGGCGUAAAGGGCGCGUAGGCGGACGGCUUUGUCGGGCGCGAAAUUCCAGGGCUUAACCUUGGGGCUGCGUUCGAGACGGGUUGUCUAGAGUUUGGAAGAGGGUCGUGGAAUUCCCAGUGUAGAGGUGAAAUUCGUAGAUAUUGGGAAGAACACCGGUGGCGAAGGCGGCGACCUGGUCCUUGACUGACGCUGAGGCGCGAAAGCGUGGGGAGCAAACAGG